rnacentral:rRNA from 1 species
GACGAACGCUGGCGGCGUGCCUAACACAUGCAAGUCGAGCGAUGAAAUUAGAAACGGAGUCUUCGGACGAAGUGGAAAAUGGAUUAGCGGCGGACGGGUGAGUAACACGUGAGCAACCUGCCUAUCACAUCGGGAUAGCCUCGGGAAACUGGGAUUAAUACCGAAUGAAACAUAAUCACUGCCUAGUGGAAAUGUCAAAGAUUUAUCGGUGAUAGAUGGGCUCGCGUCUGAUUAGCUAGUUGGUGAGGUAAUGGCUCACCAAGGCGACGAUCAGUAGCCGACCUGGGAGGGUGAACGGCCACAUUGGGACUGAGACACGGCCCAAACUCCUACGGGAGGCAGCAGUGGGGAAUAUUGCACAAUGGAGGGAACUCUGAUGCAGCGACGCCGCGUGAGCGAUGAAGGCUUUCGAGUCGUAAAGCUCUGUCGAAUGGGAAGAUAAUGACGGUACCAUUUGAGAAAGCCCCGGCUAACUACGUGCCAGCCGCCGCGGUAAAAC